GAACUAGCUCAGCUGGUACAGCAUGAGACUCUGAAUCUCAGGGUUGUGGGUUUGCGCCCCCUUUUGGGUGAGAUUCC